UAGCAUUUUCGUUUUUAUUUUACAAAUAUUGUCCAAUCAUGGAGUAACUAGGCUCAAAAGAUUUAUCUCAUAAAUUACACAUAAACUGUACAAUUAGUUUUUAUUUUUAUUUAUAUUUAAUGGUCCAUGUAUACAAUCAAAGAUUUGAUGUGACAUGGAAUCUUGAAAUUUGUUACGAAGUAAACAAGACCAAUGGUGGUGCCGUGGCGAAGCUAGAGCAAAUUAGAGGGUGGUGCACUUGUCUUGUGGGUGUAUAGAUUUGUAUUAUAGGAGGUGC
rnacentral:lncRNA from 1 species